AGGGGGUUUACUUGUACACCAAGCUGCCUCAGGAAUAGAAGAUCUGCUCCAAUGAGCUGAUCUGGCUCAGCCAAGGCUUCAUACUUAUAGUCAAGAUGAUGAUGAACUGGUAUUAUAAAAUACUAUGUAUUUGCAGUUAUUGAACGAGUGGAUGUUUGGAGAAUAAACAAAAAACACUAGUAACAUCCAACAAAUACAUAAUUUAUUACUCCAAACGUCAUCAGAGCAUUUCAUAAAUACCACAGGACAUUAGAUCUUGGGACGUUAGCCCAACCAAAACAGUGACAAAAUCUUGCACAAAAUAUCUUGAAAAGAAACAUAUAGUAAACAUUGAACUGGUACAGCACUUCCAUUCAGACCACACAGCAAGUCCACCUACAGAUACAGAUAAGCCUAUUUGAUGUAUGAAGUGUGAUUGUGCCAAAAAACGGUCUCUAAUUGCACCCUAUUGCCUAUGUAGUGCACUACGUUUGAAGAGAGCCCUAUUGGCCCUGUAGGGAAUAGGGUGCCAUUUGGGAUGCAGGUUAAGAGUAUUUAGUCUGUGGUAGCAUAAACAUUAAUGACUAGACACUGGCAUAGGUACACAGUUAUGUACACUAAAACAACAACAACAAAUAAAACAGCUUCUAUUAUCUGAACAGCCAUCACUAGCCGUCUACCAGGGGAUGCACACUCACUGACACAAGCUAUCACACCCCUCAUACUCACAAAACACAUACACUCACACACACAGGCAUACAAGCAGCUGCCGGUGCUAUCCAGUGUUGUAAAUACAUUGAACCACUGGACGUUUCCCGUUUCACAUUGAGAAUUGAAAUACUGUACUCCCGACACAGCUCAUUCUGAUAUUUCUACUACUGUACUUUGUGUUUAGUUACACUGUUUUAUACACAUCGCAUAUUUAUUUAUACACCGGAUUCUUGACAUAGCUCAGUAAUAUCAGUGGUGAUAUUUUGAUACUGAAGUACCUUGUUAAAAAUACAUUAAAGUACUCCUUAAAAGUCGUUUUUGAGGUAUCUAUACUUUACUAUUUCUAUUUUUGACAACUUUUUUUUUAUUACUACAUUCCUAAAGAAAACAAUGUACUUUUUACUCCAUACAUUUUCCCUGACCCUCAAAUGUACCCGUUACAUUUUUUAUGCCUUGCAGGACAUAUUGUUCAAUUCAUGCAUUUAUCAAGAGAACAUCCCUGGUCUUCCCUGGUGCCUAUGAUCUGUCUGACUCACUAAACACACAUGCCUUGUUGGUAAAUUGUCUGAAUGUUGGAGUGUGUCCCUGGCUAACUGUGCAUUUUAAAAACAAGAAAAUGGUGCUGUCUGGUUUGCUUAAUAUAAGGAAUUUGAAAUGAUUUAUACUUUUUACUUUUGAUACUUAAGUAUAUUUCAGCAAUUACAUGUACAUUUGAUACUAAAGUAUAUUUUAGCAAUUACAUGUAUUUUUGAUACUGAAGUAUAUUUAAAACCAUAUACUUUUAGACUUUUAGUAGUAUUUUAAUUUAAUGAGUGACUGUCAAUUUUACUUGAGUCAUUUUCAAUUAAGGUAAAGUAUCUUUACUUUGACUCAAAUAUGACAACUGGGGACUUUUUCAACCACUGACUAAUAUACAGUAUGUACUGCUGCACAUAUCACUCUCAGUAGAUCUAGUGUAAAUCCUCCUGUGUAUAUACGUAUCGAUUGCAUCUGCAUUACUUUUACAGGGCAAUUUGGGUUGUUAAUUGUCCUGACUUUCUUGAUAUCUUUUUUUUGUUUAACUUUUUAAAAAUGUUUUAUUAUUAUUUGUGUACUUGUUCGACAUUUUACUGCAUUGUCAGAAACUAGAAAUGUACGUAAGCAUUUCAUAACAUCCGCUAAACUGUGGACACAAACUAUACACCUUGAUUUGUACCGUAGUGGAACCUGAUUCACCAACUUAGCAGUAGUUAAGUGUAUGAUGUCUAGCAGUUCAUGUUGGUACGUGUGUGUGUGUGUGUGUGUGUGUGUGUGUGUGUGUGUGUGUGUGUGUGUGUGUGUGUGUGUGUGUGUGUGUGUGUGUGUGGGUAUGUCUGGGUGGUCCUAAUGCCCCCCCAACCCCUACAUGGUGCUAGGCUGAAUGCUGCAGAGUCAGCUAGUUGGUUCUAGAAUCAUUGCACAUAAUGACAACGUCUCUCUCUCAGUUUGGCUGUCUAGAGACACAGAUUUUAUACUACACCACCUUAUUUAGGAAACACACACAGGGCCGGCCCUAGGCAUAAGAAACAUAGGCAACCAGUUUUUUGGGAACUCAGUCAGGGUCUCAGGUUAAUGUUGAGCGUUAGAACAGUACAAUAAACAUGGUGUAAUUUCGAAAUUUGGUUGUGCAUCUGGAGUUUUUGUGUAGAAAUGCAGGACAUUUGCUGUAAAAUUGCACAUUUAUCUCUCCACCCAAUGUCUCGAGGUGCAGCAAACGUGUUUAAUAAAAUAAUUCAAUGCCCUAUUGGCAAAAUGUGUAGAAUUGCAGUUAAUUAAAUUGCAUUUAAUUGACAAAAAAAUAAAUAAUAAUCUCUCCACUGUCAAGAGGGGAGCCACUAAAAUGUUUUGCCCGUGAGUUGGAAGAGGCCCAAAAGGCUAGGGCUGGCCCUGCAUGCAUGCACACAUGUGCACCCACACACACAUACACCAUGAUGAACUUUGACACACACAGAGCCAAGGUGCAUGGAGAGGUCAUGGCCAGGAGGAAGCAAGGUAGAUAAUCAAGGAGAGGACCAGGAGUGAGCAGAGUACAUGUCCAGGAGAGGACCAGGAGGGAGCAGAGUAGAUGUCCAGGAGAGGACCAGGAGGGAGCAGUGUAGAUGUCCAGGAGAGGACUCCGAAUUAACAGAGUAGAUGUCCAGGAGAGGACCAGGAGGGAGCAGAGUAGAUGUCCAGGAGAGGACCAGGAGGGAGCAGUGUAGAUGUCCAGGAGAGGACCAGGAGGGAGCAGUGUAGAUGUCCAGGAGAGGACCAGGAGGGAGCAGAGUAGAUGUCCAGGAGAGGACCAGGAGGGAGCAGAGUAGAUGUCCAGGAGAGGACCAGGAGGGAGCAGUGUAGAUGUCCAGGAGAGGACCAGGAGGGAGCAGAGUAGAUGUCCAGGAGAGAACCAGGAGAGACCAGUGUAGAUGACCUGUUUAUGCUAGAUGUUCCUCUUUAGAAGCUUUUCUUUUUUUGACACAAAGACCACAGCAUUAAAGAAACGCACUGAAAUGUCCAAUACACACAGACAAACACAGAGCACACAUGCACGCUUUUACAGGGGAAUGCAUACCCUCUGGAUUUGCAUUUAUUCAAAUAUGGGUUCUUUAUGUCCAAGUCUAAAACCAUGUUUUCUUUUCAAUGUGUGGGUCUUUUCUGUAUAAUUUUCAGUUUUUGUAGGCUGCUGAUGCAAAUGUAGUGAGAUGGUCGGGUUACUAGAUUUGCACAUUCCACACAACAAUAAACAUUUAAAUAAUGAAUGCUUUUUAUAAUUUAUUUAUGAAUAAAAAAACUAAAUCCAAUAAAAAAACGGUGUUUAUUUGCUAUCACACAUUGACCCAUACUGACAUAUUUUUUGUGCUGCAGGGCUUUUGACAACAAUUGGCGCCGGCCAAAGCUACAGUACAGGACAAAGAGAUUCAUCCAAAAGAACAAAGUUCACAGAUUCAACACCAUCAGUUGACAACACUUGAGACGCAAAGCCACAACACACAGGCCACUAAAACUGUUUUAGACGGGUAGAAAACAGCCUGGCCAACAGUAGCUACAUUUAGCGUGGUUAUACUAUUGUCAUAGCACACUGUUGAUCACAAGACUGUUUACAGCUAGGGGAAGUGGUCGGGGCUAUGUGAAAAACAGCUAGGGGAAAUGGUCGGAGUUAUGUCUUAAACAGCUAGGGGAAAUGGUCGGAGUUAUGUCUUAAACAGCUAGGGGAAAUGGUCGGAGUUAUGUCUUAAACAGCUAGGGGAAGUGGUCGGGGUUAUGUCUUAAACAGCUAGGGGAAGUGGUCGGGGUUAUGUCUUAAACAGCUAGGGGAAGUGGUCGGGGUUAUGUCUUAA
ensembl:lncRNA